rnacentral:lncRNA from 1 species
ACUCAGAUUCUCCCCAGACGCCAAGGUUGCGGGUCAUGGAGUCCCGAACCCUCCUCCUGCUGUUCUCGGGAGCCGUGGCCCUGAUCCAGACCUGGGCAGAGAAGGUGUUUUGGAUGCAUUCUAGAACACAGGUAAUCUAAGGAGAGUUGAUCAAGGCCGUGGAAGAGUCCUCCAGCCACUAUUGGCCAUCAAAGGAGUCCUCUGUGUCCCAGGAAUGGUCCUGCUUUGGUGUCCCUGGUGUGACCCAUCACCCGCUGGGAACAGCCUGAGAGAAGUAGGGCCUCUGCACCAAUGCUGCUGAGGAUGUCAGAGCACAGGAACGAGGCCUUGGGAAAUUACCUGGAAAUGCGACUGAAAUCUUCCUUCCUGAGGGGUCUGGGCUCUUGGAAAUCAAACCCUCUCAGGUUGGGUGGCUGGACGAUUCUCCUCACACUUACAAUGGGACAAGGGGAACCAGGAGGCCCCCAAGGGGAUCCCUGGGUUCCACACGAACUCCUCCUACCCUCAUUGUGUGACAGCAGCCAUGCCUCCUCCUGGGGAUCAGGAUCUAUUACCUGUGCCUGGAGAGGAGGGGACUCCUCUUCUCACCCGCUGGUCUCUGGACACAUACUGUCCAAUUCCCCUGUGGCAGCUGUAAUGUGUAGUUCAAUGGGCACUCAUUUGUCCCCUUUUAAGGGUACCCUCCUUUAGAAUCCAGGACCUUCUACCCUGCAGAGUGUGGUUUUGGGAGAGAAGUGCAAAAUCCCACGACAGGUGAGUUGAAGGAAUGGGAUAUGGAGCCACAUCCACUUCCACCCCUUGGUAUCUGGACCCACGUGUUCUUCCUACUGAGAUUACAGAACUGUAGAGAUGUCUUUGAUUUUUAAAAUGCACCAUGUCCUGAAAGAUGGCACCCUCCCACCCGCAGAGUGCUUCCUGCAAGCUGGCGUUGAGCUGUGCCUAUAGAAGCUCUUUUCAACAUUCUUUAUGGCCAGCAGCCCUUGGUUGGUGCAGAUGGUGAUAGGACCAGUGGGUCCCACAGCAUGGCCACACUGCACCUCCUUCGCUGUCAAGUGGGUCCCCCACGAAGAUACUGCACGGAGAGCAGUGCCAAGCCUGUGGAUCAGGAAUAUCAACAGCCCCCAGAGAGUGGUGCUGGCUGAGGGUCUGAGAGCAGGACAGGAAAACCCACCUAUGGAAUAGGUGCCUAUCCCUGUGAAGAUGAACCUCUGGCCCUUCCAGGAUGGAAGGAGUGCAAUGUAGUCAACUCCUCACUUAGGGUCUGGUUGGUCACCUAAAGAAAUAGAGCCCUACCAGGGAAGAUCAUUGGGUUCAAAUGCUGAUGAGUAGGACAUUUAGAGGUGGCAGUGUCUGGAUCUACCUUGGUAGGAGGGAGUCAGUACUGUUGGACCCAUAGGUAGCCUCAUCCCUGCCACUGUGUUUGCUCCAUUUAUGUACCCAUCCUACCCGGCCUGGGCUGACCCAUGGGGAAGGCUGGCUAAUUUCAGUGCUUCUGCUUGGUUGUUCAGGGCCAUUUCAGGUUUGGGUGUUUUCUGGGGAUGUUAACAUGGGAUUCAGGCUCAACUCACAAGAAACUUUUCCAUCUCAUGAUGGAUGCUGUUGGGCAUGUCCAAUGUAUGACUUCAUGAGUUACACAGAUGCUAAUUCGUAGGGGCACUUGGAAUCACAUGGUUGUUUUGUGUCCCAUGGUCAAGCAUUCUAUCUUAUCAGGGCCUACAGUAACAUGCCAAAAGUUGCUUCCAACAUAUUUCUCUGCUUUGGAUGGGGCAUAUUUCUGUGCUGUGGAUGACAUGGCCUUACUCCAGAAUCCCAGGCCCUCCACUGUGACUCUCCUACUGGUGCUUGGUUCAGCUCCACCCCAAAUCUUACCCCACCACUGGCACUUUCAGCACCAGGGGGUCUGAAGGAUGGUGACUGCGCCAUGGCCUGGAUCUGCUGCAGUGUCCUUUCCUGUGGAGGCUCCACUCAAAGCUGGCAUCCUCCUAUGUCACCUAGAGUGUGGGUCAAAGCAAUACACCUACAUGUAGAAUGUGAUGUCAGAACUCAAACAGGCUCACCAGGCAGUGUGCUUCCUUCCUUGCAUGAGGAUGCAAGAUGCAACAGUUUGUCUUUCACAUUGGAAGGGACACCCCUGGAUGCCCCUAACCACUAGACCUGUAAAACUUCACUGCAGUGGCCACUUCUGAAUCUCUGUAAGGUUUAUUUAUCUUCACCCUCUGGAGAGAAGAUGUUUUACCAAAGCCUCUAGUGUACCUUCCUCCUCUUACUCAUCCAUCCCAGUCAACAUGAUGUUGUCAAUGAAAUAAAGGAAUUUAAUAUUCUAUAGUAUAUCCAGGUUCUCCAGAUCUCUUAAGACUGUACUAUAGAGGCCUGGGGAAUUAUAAUAGCCCUGAGGCAAACUAUGAAUUAAAGUGUUGUGGAUCCCACAUGAA